rnacentral:rRNA from 1 species
AGCAGCCGCGGUAAUUCCAGCUCCAAUAGCGUAUAUUAAAGUUGUUGCAGUUAAAAAGCUCGUAGUUGAAUUUCGGGAUCAAUAUGUUGGUCGUGCCUUGGUACGUACUAAUUUAUUGGUUUCUUCCUUCUGACGAACCAUGAUGUCAUUAAUUUGGUGUUAUGGGGAAUCAGGACUGUUACUUUGAAAAAAUUAGAGUGUUUAAAGCAGGCUCACGCUUGAAUACAUUAGCAUGGAAUAAUGAAAUAGGACGUUUGAUUCUAUUUUGUUGGUUUCUAGGAUCGACGUAAUGAUUAAUAGGGAUAGUUGGGGGCAUUAGUAUUCAAUUGUCAGAGGUGAAAUUCUUGGAUUUAUCGAAGACUAACUACUGCGAAAGCAUUUGCCAAGGAUGUUUUCAUUAAUCAAGAACGAAAGUUAGGGGAUCGAAGACGAUCAGAUACCGUCGUAGUCUUAACCAUAAACUAUGCCGACUAGGGAUCGGAUGAUGUUAAUUUUUAAUGACUCAUUCGGCGCCUUACGG